AUUGAACGCUGGCGGCAGGCCUAACACAUGCAAGUCGAGCGAGCGGCGGACGGGUGAGUAAUGUAUGGGGACUGCCCGAUAGAGGGGGAUAACUACUGGAAACGGUGGCUAAUACCGCAUACUAUCGGAUAACCCAUAUGGGAUUAGCUAGUAGGUGGGGUAAAGGCUCACCUAGGCGACGCUCUCUAGCUGGUCUGAGAGGAUGAUCUGCCACAGUGAGACGGAGAAAAGGCCCAGAGAGGAAGGGGGGGAGCAGUGGGCGAUAUUGGAGAAGGGGCGAAAGCGUGAUGCCGCGAGGCCGCGGGGGGGAUGAAGGCUUUAGGGUUGUAAACGUCUGGCGGUAGCGAACGGGUAGGUGGAGAAGAAGCGCCGGCUAACUACGUGCCAGCAGCCGCGGUAAUAC
rnacentral:rRNA from 1 species